AACGAACGUUGGCGGCAGGCUUAACACAUGCAAGUCGAACGCCCCGCAAGGGGAGUGGCAGACGGGUGAGUAACGCGUGGGAAUCUACCGUGCCCUACGGAAUAGCUCCGGGAAACUGGAAUUAAUACCGUAUACGCCCUACGGGGGAAAGAUUUAUCGGGGUAUGAUGAGCCCGCGUUGGAUUAGCUAGUUGGUGGGGUAAAGGCCUACCAAGGCGACGAUCCAUAGCUGGUCUGAGAGGAUGAUCAGCCACAUUGGGACUGAGACACGGCCCAAACUCCUACGGGAGGCAGCAGUGGGGAAUAUUGGACAAUGGGCGCAAGCCUGAUCCAGCCAUGCCGCGUGAGUGAUGAAGGUCUUAGGAUUGUAAAGCUCUUUCACCGAUGAAGAUAAUGACGGUAGUCGGAGAAGAAGCCCCGGCUAACUUCGUGCCAGCCGCCGCCGUAACAC
rnacentral:rRNA from 1 species